rnacentral:sRNA from 1 species
GUGAUAUUCCUGGAGGGAAAGCCUCUAUUCCACUCAAUAGCCUGCAUUAUUGCUGCUUGUGCAGUAGCUUUCUCCACACUGCCCCACCAAUAUGCCUCAGCCCUGACCCUGGAGGGACUGCAUGGAGGCUAGUUCAAUCUCCAUGUUCAUUCAGUCUUUAACAUCA